CACAGAUUAAUGGGGUUGUUGUAUGGAAAAAUGCGAAUUGUUUGAGCGCCAGUUAUCAGUGUCGCUGAAACAAUUCCUGGACAAAUUUGAAAAUAAUCAUAAACUAUUUCGGUUGACGACAGUGCUAUCAUUGUGAAAUCACGCAUGUUUAGAUCGUUACGAACAAUUGAGUCAUCAAUGAGUGAAUUUCCAUAAACCACAGCGUCGGGCUGCAGAGAAUUUAUUCCUCAUAUGUGUUUGCAUGCAAGUACAUAUACGAUUUGUUAAUAAUAGUAACAAUAAUAAUAGAACGUGAGUGUGAACAGCUUGGAACACCUACGUGUGGUUAUCUUAUCAGUUUAAUGUAGCCAGUGGUGAUAAUAAAAAUUGAUCACCCUGGUACCGGUCGCGAAACACUAUUCCACAGUGUUCUUUGCAGUGUUGCGGUCGUUUGCGGACCAUUUAGUCGCUUGUGCAGUGCAAUUUACAUCUACAGAGUGAAAAAUGAAGGUGAUUGUACGGACACCACCUCAUGAAUCGGAACUGGAGGCUCAGCCCAAAAUCUCCACCAGGGAGAUUUUCCAGACCAUGUGCAAGUCAUUGGGCGUGCAGGAAACCUGGUGGUUUGGGCUGAUGUACAAAGGACCAGACAAUGAAGAUGUCUGGAUA
rnacentral:lncRNA from 1 species